AAGUCUUAGUUCGGUAAAUCUUAAGUUUCUGGUUUAAGAAACUUUCGAUUUUUCCAUGAAACCAAGUCUUUC
rnacentral:tRNA from 1 species